rnacentral:rRNA from 1 species
GCUAAACGCGAAGAACCUUACCUGGCCUUGACAUGCCACUAACGAAGCAGAGAUGCAUUAGGUGCCCGUAAGGGAAAGUGGACACAGGUGCUGCAUGGCUGUCGUCAGCUCGUGUCGUGAGAUGUUGGGUUAAGUCCCGCAACGAGCGCAACCCUUGCCAUUAAUUGCCAUCAUUUAGUUGGGCACUUUAAUGGGACUGCCGGUGACAAACCGGAGGAAGGUGGGGAUGACGUCAAGUCCUCAUGGCCCUUAUGGCCAGGGCUUCACACGUAAUACAAUGGUCGGUACAGAGAGUUGCCAAGCCGCGAGGUGGAGCUAAUCUCAGAAAGCCGAUCGUAGUCCGGAUUGUUCUCUGCAACUCGAGAGCAUGAAGUCGGAAUCGCUAGUAGCGGUGAGUCAGCUAUAUUACCGUGAAUACGUUCCCGGGUCUUGUACAC